CGGCAAGGUUGAGUAAUUUGAGGAGCUGAGUCAUAGGACUCAGCUAGGACUAAUUAGUCAUAGGAUGUCACUGAAGUCCAUCCAGAGGCACAAUGUCACACCCUGGGAGCCGCGUGUCACCUGAAGGCUAAGGAGGCCCUCAUCUUCCUCUCUGACCACAUACUGGCCCCUCACUCACUCCGCAGGGGCUCCCCGAGUUCUCUGCGGCUCAGACUCGCCCGGCGUACUCCUCCCACCUGAGGGCUUGGCAUGACUGUCUGGGGGAACAGUCUCCACAUGGAUAAUACCCUCACUUCCUCCAAGUCUGCCCGCCUGUCUCUUCCCAGUGUGGCCAGCCCAGGUCACCCCCACCAGCAACACCCCAAAUCCUCUUUCCUCUCUCCCUCGCAGCUCUUUGCACCUUCCUACACAUCCUGGAAUCCAUGUGUUAACUUCGAAGUUUCUCAGAAGUCACCCCAAUGGAACAGACGCUUCGCGAGGGAUGGCUGUGUGUUGGCUCUGAUCCUGCCCCGGCCCUUGACCCUGCCUGGCCAGGAGGCAUUCAGCUGACAUCUGUGAACUGAAUGAACGAAGCAGCCGGCUGGGGAUGGCCACUGUGAGCACAGACCUGUCGGAUUGUCCCCCAGAUAUAAGCCACAUCAACAAAAGCUCUUUGGGACCAUCAGGAAUGUGAGUCAAAAGGGAUCCUGAAAACAAAAAGGUCGAGGACUACGGCAUGACACCAAGCCAGGCUGCUCCAUCCCGGAGGCCCCACAGGGUUUCAGAAGAGGGCAACUUGGCCAUUUAGACUGGAACGUUCUUCCUGCCCAGCACAGGACUGUCCAUGUUGCAAGGUGUACAGCAACUCUGCUUGAACCUCCAAAAUACCAGGAGGCUCCCCAGUGGAAUUGCUCGGGAGCCACGGCUCUCUGGAUUUCCACUGGCUGCUGGAAUGCGGGGAGCCCCUGGGUUUCCACAGAGGGUGGGCAUUCUGUUCCCCUCCCAGUCCAACGACCCUCUGAGUGCCACGGAGACGUGUGGUUCCUUCAAACCUGGGAGUUCCGUGAAAUUUUGGAAGUCUGCGGUGCCCUGAACCAGGGCACAUGACCUACAGACGUUUGCAGACAACCAGAAUUUCAAGAUGCUUGUUUGUGCCGUAGGCACAGAUGUUUCCCCUGGGAAUUACUGACGCCCUGAUUUCAUGAAUGGACUUGAGGUCAGCCUGAGGCUCCAGGCCAGCCUGUGCACAGCAGCUGGAGCUCCUUCCUUAACUGUUCCCAGAACACCACUCCCAAGAAAGCAAGGCCCUGAGAACGUCUCUCCCUCACGUCACCAACGGCUCCACUGUCCCGGCUUCGUGUCCCCGCCUUAGUGUCUCCAGCCCUCCCGCACUUGUCACCAUCACUCCUCGUGCCUCCCUGACCUGCACGCUGGGCCCAGCUGUAAGCAGAGCCACUUGCCAUCACAAGAUCCCACUGCUGCUGCCCCCGGGCCUUUGCACGGUCCCUCUCCUAGUCCCAGCAGGAUUGUCUUCCAGCUCUUGUUCCC
rnacentral:lncRNA from 1 species